AUUGAACGCUGGCGGCAGGCCUAACACAUGCAAGUCGAACGGUAACAGGAAGCAGCUUGCUGCUUUGCUGACGAGUGGCGGGCGGGUGAGUCAUGUCUGGGAAACUGCUCGAUGGAGGGGGACAACUACUGGAAACGGUAGCUAAUACCGCAUAACUUCGCAAGACCAAAGAGGGGGACCUUAGGGCCUCUUUUCAUCGGAUGUGCCCAGGUGGGAUUCGCUAGUAGGUGGGGUUACGGCUCACCUAGGCGACGAUCCGUACGUGGUCUGAGAGGAUGACCGGCCACACUGGAACGGAGACACGGUCCAGACGCCUACGGGACGCAGCAGUGGGGAAGAUUGCGCAAUGGGCGCAAGCCUGACGCAGCCAUGCCGCGUGUAUGAAGAAGGCCUUCGGGUUGUAAAGUACUUUCAGCGGGGAGGAAGGGAGUAAAGUUAAGACCUUUGCUCAUUGACGUUACCCGCAGAAGAAGCACCGGCUAACUCCGUG
rnacentral:rRNA from 1 species